AUGGCGUCGCACACUUGUGCCGCCAUCGCCAUCCCUGCUCAUCGACCACGGCGACGACCCGCCAAGCGCUGCACCACCGCUGCCAUUAAGCGUUGUACCACCGCAGCCUCAAUCCUCACGUGUCGCUCCUUCGAGCUCAAAGCCAUCCCUUCGGGCAAGCUCUGCCCCGCCGCGCGCCGCUCCUUCAAGCUCACCACCAUCCCGUUGGCCAGGACCUGUCUCGGCUGCUGUAGCGGAUGGCUCGCCCUCUCCAUUUGCAUCGACGGCAUCCGUAGCCUGCUCAACCUCUUCCACCCCAUCACGGCCGUUGAGAUCCUCCUACCCCUGCUUGUCUAUGACAGUCGCCUUGUCUCCAAGAUCGUCUUUGCUCCCAACCCUGCCACUGACGACUUUGUGGCCACUGUGAUCUGUGACAUUGAUAGGGUUGCCUACAUCACCACAGGGGCCAGGAGGUGGUCCGUCCUCGACCCCAUCCGCCUCACUGUUAGAGACCAGCUCAUCGACCUCCUCUACCACGAAAAUGGUAGGGUCUACUUCCUCACUCGGUUUGGAGACGUUCACGUGCUCUUCCUACCGCAGCGCCACCACCCGGAACCUAUCAUCCUCGAGGUCGACACAUCAGCAUAUCCUGCAGUGCAUAAUAGGAAAAUCAUCCAGAUGCAUGGGACAAGACCGGAUUUAAGUGCGCCGGCCACCAUUAAGGCAUUGUUGUCAUCUAUGGGAAGCAACCUAUCGUAA
rnacentral:rRNA from 1 species